rnacentral:rRNA from 1 species
AUUGAACGCUGGCGGCAGGCUUAACACAUGCAAGUCGAGCGGUAGCACAGGGGAGCUUGCUCCCUGGGUGACGAGCGGCGGACGGGUGAGUAAUGUCUGGGAAACUGCCUGAUGGAGGGGGAUAACUACUGGAAACGGUAGCUAAUACCGCAUAACGUCGCAAGGCCAAAGAGGGGGACCUUCGGGCCUCUUGCCAACAGAUGUGCCCAGAUGGGAUUAGCUAGUAGGUGGGGUAAUGGCUCACCUAGGCGACGAUCCCUAGCUGGUCUGAGAGGAUGAACAGCCACACUGGAACUGAGACACGGUCCAUACUCCUACGGGAGGCAGCAGUGGGGAAUAUUGCACAAUGGGCGCAAGCCUGAUGCAGCCAUGCCGCGUGUAUGAAGAAGGCCUUCGGGUUGUAAAGUACCUUCAGCGGGGAGGAAGGGGUUAAGGUUAAUAACCUUAGCCAUUGACGUUACCCGCAGAAGAAGCACCGGCUAACUCCGUGCCAGCAGCCGCCGUAA